AACAUCAGGUCCAAGGUGAGUGAGGU
rnacentral:piRNA from 1 species